rnacentral:rRNA from 1 species
UACAGAGGUGGCAAGCGUUGUUCGGAAUUACUGGGCGUAAAGGGCGCGUAGGCGGCCUUCUAAGUCGGACGUGAAAUCCCAAGGCUCAACUUGGGAACUGCGUCCGAUACUGGAUGGCUUGAGUGCGGGAGAGGAAUGUGGAAUUCCAGGUGUAGCGGUGAAAUGCGUAGAUAUCGGGAGGAACACCAGUGGCGAAGGCGGCUUCCUGGCCUGUUCUUGACGCUGAGGCGCGAAAGCUAGGGUAGCAAACGGG